rnacentral:rRNA from 1 species
UACGUAGGGUGCAAGCGUUGUCCGGAAUUAUUGGGCGUAAAGAGCUCGUAGGCGGUCUGUUGCGUCGGCUGUGAAAACCCGCGGCUCAACUCCGGGCCUGCAGCCGAUACGGGCAGACUAGAGUUCGGCAGGGGAGACUGGAAUUCCUGGUGUAGCGGUGAAAUGCGCAGAUAUCAGGAGGAACACCGGUGGCGAAGGCGGGUCUCUGGGCCGAAACUGACGCUGAGGAGCGAAAGCGUGGGGAGCGAACAGG